AUUGAACGCUGGCGGCAGGCUUAACACAUGCAAGUCGAACGAGUGGCGGACGGGUGAGUAAUGCAUGGGAAUGUGGCUAGUAGAGGGGGAUAACUACGGGAAAGUGUAGCUAAUACCGCGUACCAUAGGAGGAGCCGAGGUGGGAUUAGUUAGUUGGUGGGGUAAAGGCUCACCAAGCCGACGAUCCCUAGCUGGUCUGAGAGGACGACCAGCCACACUGGGACUGAGACACGGCCCAGACUCCUACGGGAGGCAGCAGUGGGGAAUUUUGCACAAUGGGGGAAACCUGAUGCAGCCAUGCCGCGUGAAUGAAGAAGGCCUUCGGGUUGUAAAGUUCUUUCGGCAGCGAGGCGGUAACUACAGAAGAAGCACCGGCUAACUACGUGCCAGCAGCCGCGGUAAUAC
rnacentral:rRNA from 1 species